GAUGAAGAACGCAGCGAAAUGCGAUAAGUAAUGUGAAUUGCAGAAUUCAGUGAAUCAUCGAAUCUUUGAACGCACAUUGCGCCCCCUGGAAUUCCGGGGGGCAUGCCUGUUCGAGCGUCAUUACAACCCUCAAGCUCAGCUUGGUGUUGGGCCCCGCCGCCCCGGCGGGCCCUAAAGUCAGUGGCGGUGCCGUCCGGCUCCGAGCGUAGUAAUUCUUCUCGCUCUGGAGGUCCGGUCGUGUGCUCGCCAGCAACCCCCAAUUUUUUUCAGGUUGACCUCGGAUCAGGUAGGGAUACCCGCUGAACUUAAGCAUAUCAAUAAGCGGAGGA
rnacentral:misc_RNA from 1 species